GUGGGGAAUCUUAGACAAUGGGCGCAAGCCUGAUCUAGCCAUGCCGCGUGAGCGAUGAAGGCCUUAGGGUUGUAAAGCUCUUUCGCUGGGGAAGAUAAUGACUGUACCCAGUAAAGAAGCCCCGGCUAACUCCGUGCCAGCAGCCGCGGUAAUACGGAGGGGGCUAGCGUUGUUCGGAAUUACUGGGCGUAAAGCGCGCGUAGGCGGAUUGGAAAGUUGGGGGUGAAAUCCCGGGGCUCAACCUCGGAACUGCCUUCAAAACUCCCAGUCUUGAGUUCGAGUGAGGUGAGUGGAAUUCCGAGUGUAGAGGUGAAAUUCGUAGAUAUUCGGAGGAACACCAGUGGCGAAGGCGGCUCACUGGCUCGAUACUGACGCUGAGGUGCGAAAGCGUGGGGAGCAAACAGGAUUAGAAACCCGAGUAGUCC
rnacentral:rRNA from 1 species